rnacentral:rRNA from 1 species
CGUGUAGGCGGCUUCUUAAGUCUGAUGUGAAAGCCCGGGGCUUACCCCCGGAAGGGCAUUGGAAACUGGGAGGCUAGAGUACCGGAGAGGAAGGUGGAAUUCCUGGUGUAGCGGUGAAAUGCGUAGAUAUCAGGAGGAACACCGGUGGCGAAGGCGGCCUUCUGGACGGAUACUGACGCUGAGACGCGAAAGCGUGGGGAGCAAACAGGAUUAGAUACCCUGGUAGUCCACGCCGUAAACGAUGGGCACUAGGUGUUCGGGGUAUUGACCCCCUGAGUGCCGCAGCUAACGCAUUAAGUGCCCCGCCUGGGGACUACGGCCGCAAAGGUUAAA